rnacentral:rRNA from 1 species
AUUGAACUCUGGCGGCAUGCCUUACACAUGCAAGUCGAACGGCAGCACGGAGCUUGCUCUGGUGGCGAGUGGCGAACGGGUGAGUAAUAUAUCGGAACGUACCCUAGAGUGGGGGAUAACAUAGCGAAAGUUACGCUAAUACCGCAUACGAUCUAAGGAUGAAAGUGGGGGAUCGCAAGACCUCAUGCUCGUGGAGCGGCCGAUAUCUGAUUAGCUAGUUGGUAGGGUAAAAGCCUACCAAGGCAUCGAUCAGUAGCUGGUCUGAGAGGACGACCAGCCACACUGGAACUGAGACACGGUCCAGACUCCUACGGGAGGCAGCAGUGGGGAAUUUUGGACAAUGGGCGAAAGCCUGAUCCAGCAAUGCCGCGUGAGUGAAGAAGGCCUUCGGGUUGUAAAGCUCUUUUGUCAGGGAAGAAACGGUGAAAGCUAAUAUCUUUUGCUAAUGACGGUACUUGAAGAAUAAGCACCGGCUAACUACGUGCCAGCAGCCGCGGUAAUACGUAGGGUGCAAGCGUUAAUCGGAAUUACUGGGCGUAAAGCGUGCGCAGGCGGUUUUGUAAGUCUGAUGUGAAAUCCCCGGGCUCAACCUGGGAAUUGCAUUGGAGACUGCAAGGCUAGAAUCUGGCAGAGGGGGGUAGAAUUCCACGUGUAGCAGUGAAAUGCGUAGAUAUGUGGAGGAACACCGAUGGCGAAGGCAGCCCCCUGGGUCAAGAUUGACGCUCAUGCACGAAAGCGUGGGGAGCAAACAGGAUUAGAUACCCUGGUAGUCCACGCCCUAAACGAUGUCUACUAGUUGUCGGGUCUUAAUUGACUUGGUAACGCAGCUAACGCGUGAAGUAGACCGCCUGGGGAGUACGGUCGCAAGAUUAAAACUCAAAGGAAUUGACGGGGACCCGCACAAGCGGUGGAUGAUGUGGAUUAAUUCGAUGCAACGCGAAAAACCUUACCUACCCUUGACAUGGCUGGAAUCCUUGAGAGAUCAGGGAGUGCUCGAAAGAGAACCAGUACACAGGUGCUGCAUGGCUGUCGUCAGCUCGUGUCGUGAGAUGUUGGGUUAAGUCCCGCAACGAGCGCAACCCUUGUCAUUAGUUGCUACGAAAGGGCACUCUAAUGAGACUGCCGGUGACAAACCGGAGGAAGGUGGGGAUGACGUCAAGUCCUCAUGGCCCUUAUGGGUAGGGCUUCACACGUCAUACAAUGGUACAUACAGAGCGCCGCCAACCCGCGAGGGGGAGCUAAUCGCAGAAAGUGUAUCGUAGUCCGGAUUGUAGUCUGCAACUCGACUGCAUGAAGUUGGAAUCGCUAGUAAUCGCGGAUCAGCAUGUCGCGGUGAAUACGUUCCCGGGUCU